rnacentral:rRNA from 1 species
AGUGAACGCUGGCGGUAGGCCUAACACAUGCAAGUCGAACGGCAGCACAGUAAGAGCUUGCUCUUACGGGUGGCGAGUGGCGGACGGGUGAGGAAUACAUCGGAAUCUACUUUUUCGUGGGGGAUAACGUAGGGAAACUUACGCUAAUACCGCAUACGACCUACGGGUGAAAGCAGGGGAUCUUCGGACCUUGCGCGAUUGAAUGAGCCGAUGUCGGAUUAGCUAGUUGGCGGGGUAAAGGCCCACCAAGGCGACGAUCCGUAGCUGGUCUGAGAGGAUGAUCAGCCACACUGGAACUGAGACACGGUCCAGACUCCUACGGGAGGCAGCAGUGGGGAAUAUUGGACAAUGGGCGCAUGCCUGAUCCAGCCAUACCGCGUGGGUGAAGAAGGCCUUCGGGUUGUAAAGCCCUUUUGUUGGGAAAGAAAAGCAGCAGGUUAAUACCCCGCUGUUCUGACGGUACCCAAAGAAUAAGCACCGGCUAACUUCGU